UCCCUGGUAGUCGAAUGGUUAAGACUCUACCCUCCCAAUGCAGGGGGCCUGGGUUCAAUCCCUGGUUAGGGAA
rfam:Ovis aries breed Texel chromosome 14, whole genome shotgun sequence.